CAUGCAGAAUCCAGCAGAAGGUCGAUCGGUAGUGGAUGUCGGAUAGCACUGGAGAGGUUCACCCGCUGGAGGGGUCCGGCUGCUGGAGCCCGUGUGUCGUAGGAGUUCGUCCGGAGUCUAUCCGCUACAGAAGUUCGGUCGGAGUCUGGUUCCUGUAGAAGUUCGGAUGGGGAUCAUUUGUUGAGGAAGCUCGGUCGAAGCCUGCCUGCAAUAGAAGUUCGGAAGGAAUUCAUUCACAGUAGAAGCUCAGGUGGAGGCUUACAGUAGAAAUCCGAUGUGGACCACUCAUAGUAGAAAUUCGAAGUAGACAGUUUGUAGUGGUAGCUCAGAGUAGAUCGUUUGUAGUAGAAGCUCAGAGCAGAUCGCUUGUGGUGGGGGCUCAGAGUAGAUCGUUUGUAGUAGAAGCUCGGAGCAGAUCGCUUGGUGGGGGCUCGGAGCCCGACCCUUGUAAGAAUUCGGAUGAGGUCUACCUGCAAUAGGAGCUCAGGGCUGAAGUCCGGCUCCCGUAGGAGCCCGGACGAAGUCUACCUGCAGUAGGAGUUCAGGAAAGAAGUCUGGCUCCUGUAGGAGCUCGGAUCAAAUCCAGAAGGCGGUCGACCACCGUAAAAACUUGGAUGGAGUCCGUCUGUCAUGGAGAUCUGCUGUUGAGAAAGUUCGGCCACUGACGAACUGAUGAAGUUCUGGAAGAAAUUCGGAUUGGAGUCGAUUGAAUCCUGUUGGAAAAGAUCUGGAAGAGGUCCGGAGAACGGUUGACCCUUGUAGGACGUCGGUCGAUAGUAGAAUCCAGAGAGCACUUGGAGCAGCCUGAUAGACGACCGAAGAAGCUUAUCGCUGGAGAAGCCCGGG
rnacentral:lncRNA from 1 species